AGACCUAGUGGCGAACGGGUGAGGAACACGUGAGAAAUUUGCCCCGAACUUUGGGAUAACAGUUGGAAACGACUGCUAAUACCGGAUGACGUCGGAGAAUCGCAUGAUUCACUGACGAAAGAUAUUUCGGUUUGGGAGGGUCUCGCGGCCUAUCAGCUUGUUGGUGGGGUAAUGGCCUACCAAGGCAACGACGGGUAGCUGGUCUGAGAGGAUGAUCAGCCACACUGGGACUGAGACACGGCCCAGACUCC
rnacentral:rRNA from 1 species